rnacentral:rRNA from 1 species
UCAUGCUNGAAAGCGUGGGUAGCAAACAGGAUUAGAUACCCUGGUAGUCCACGCCCUAAACGAUGUCGAUUAGCUGUUGGGCAACUUGAUUGCUUAGUAGCGUAGCUAACGCGUGAAAUCGACCGCCUGGGGAGUACGGUCGCAAGAUUAAAACUCAAAGGAAUUGACGGGGACCCGCACAAGCGGUGGAUGAUGUGGAUUAAUUCGAUGCAACGCGAAGAACCUUACCUGGUCUUGACAUGUACGGAAGAACUCAGAGACGAGUUUGUGCCUUCGGGAGCCGUAACACAGGUGCUGCAUGGCUGUCGUCAGCUCGUGUCGUGAGAUGUUGGGUUAAGUCCCGCAACGAGCGCAACCCUUGUCAUUAGUUGCCAUCAUUUAGUUGGGCACUCUAAUGAGACUGCCGGUGACAAACCGGAGGAAGGUGGGGAUGACGUCAAGUCCUCAUGGCCCUUAUGACCAGGGCUUCACACGUCAUACAAUGGUCGGUACAGAGGGUAGCCAAGCCGCGAGGUGGAGCCAAUCCCAGAAAACCGAUCGUAGUCCGGAUUGCACUCUGCAACUCGAGUGCAUGAAGUCGGAAUCGCUAGUAAUCGCAGGUCAGCAUACUGCGGUGAGUACGUUCCCGGGUCUUGUACACACCGCCCGUCACACCAUGGGAGUGGGGGAUACCAGAAGUAGGUAGGGUAACCGCAAGGAGCCCGCUUACC